rnacentral:rRNA from 1 species
CCUACGGGAGGCAGCAGUAGGGAAUAUUGGACAAUGGACGCAAGUCUGAUCCAGCCAUCCCGCGUGAAGGAUUAAGGCCCUAUGGGUUGUAAACUUCUUUUCUUUGGGAAUAAAAAGCGGUAUUCAUAUCGCCUUGAAGGUACCAGAGGAAUAAGCACCGGCUAACUCCGUGCCAGCAGCCGCGGUAAUACGGAGGGUGCAAGCGUUAUCCGGAUUCACUGGGUUUAAAGGGUGCGUAGGUGGCUUUGUAAGUCAGCGGUGAAGGCCUGGAGCUCAACUCCAGAAUUGCCAUUGAUACUGCAGAGCUUGAAUCAAGUUGAGGUGGAUGGAAUAUUACAUGUAGCGGUGAAAUGCUUAGAUAUGUAAUAGAACACCGAUUGCGAAGGCAGUUCACUAAGCUUGUAUUGACACUGAGGCACGAAAGCGUGGGGAUCAAACAGGAUUAGAUACCCUGGUAGUCCACGCCCUAAACGAUGCAAACUCGACAUUAGCGAUAUACAGUUAGUGUCCAAGCGAAAGCGUAAGUUUGCACCUGGAAGUACGACCGCAAGUUGAACUUAAAGUAGAUAGAGNGNGAGAGAGCGACGACGACGACGAGGGAGGAGG